rnacentral:rRNA from 1 species
GACAGAGGUGCCGAGCGUUAGGCGGAAUCACUGGGCUUAAAGCGUGUGUAGGCGGAUGCCUAAGUACCUUGUGAAAUCCCACGGCUCAACCGUGGAACUGCUUGGUAUACUGGGUGUCUUGAGCCGGAUAGGGGCGACUGGAACAGACGGUGGAGCGGUGAAAUGCGUAGAUAUCGUCUGGAACGCCAAUGGAGAAGACAGGUCGCUGGGUCCGCGCUGACGCUGAGACACGAAAGCCAGGGGAGCAAACGGG